UACGUAGGGCGCAAGCGUUGUCCGGAAUUAUUGGGCGUAAAGAGCUCGUAGGUGGCUUGUCGCGUCUGCCGUGAAAGCCCAUGGCUUAACUGUGGGUCUGCGGUGGAUACGGGCUGGCUAGAGGUAGGUAGGGGAGAAUGGAAUUCCCGGUGUAGCGGUGAAAUGCGCAGAUAUCGGGAGGAACACCGGUGGCGAAGGCGGUUCUCUGGGCCUUACCUGACGCUGAGGAGCGAAAGCGUGGGGAGCGAACAGG
rnacentral:rRNA from 1 species